rnacentral:rRNA from 1 species
GCCGCAGCUAACGCAGUAAGUACCCCGCCUGGGGAGUACGGCCGCAAGGUUGAAACUCAAAGGAAUUGACGGGGGCCCGCACAAGAGGUGGAGCAUGUGGUUUAAUUCGACGCAACGCGAAGAACCUUACCCAGGUUGGACAUGCAAGUAGUAAGAACCUGAAAGGGGGAUGAGCCCUUCGGGGCAGCUUGCUCAGGUGCUGCAUGGCUGUCGUCAGCUCGCGCCGUGAGGUGUUGGGUUAAGUCCCGCAACGAGCGUAACCCCUGUCUUCAGUUGCCAUCGGGUGAUGCCGGGCACUCUGAAGAGACUGCCCAGGAUAACGGGGAGGAAGGUGGGGAUGACGUCAAGUCAGCAUGGCCUUUAUGCCUGGGGCUACACACGUGCUACAAUGACCGGCACAAAGGGUUGCAAUCUCGUAAGAGUGAGCCAAUCUCAAAAAACCGGCCUCAGUUCAGAUUGGGGUCUGCAACUCGACCUCAUGAAGGUGGAAUCUCUAGUAAUCGCGGAUCAGCACGCCGCGGUGAAUACGUUCCCGGGCCUUGUACACACCGCCCGUCACACCACGAAAGUUGGUUGUACCUGAAGUCGCUGAAGCUAACCCGCAAGGGAGGCAGGUGCCCACGGUAUGGUCGAUAAUGG